rnacentral:rRNA from 1 species
CCAAUAGCGUAUAUUAAAGUUGUUGCAGUUAAAAAGCUCGUAGUUGAAUUUCGGGGUUAGUAGGUUGGUCAUGCCUCUGGUAUGUACUGAUCUCACUGAUUCCUCCCUCUUGACGAACUGUAAUGUCAUUAAUUUGGUGUUGCAGGAAAUCAGGACUGUUACUUUGAAAAAAUUAGAGUGUUUAAAGCAGGCUAAGGCUUGAAUACAUUAGCAUGGAAUAAUGAAAGAGGACGUUUGAUCCUAUUUUGUUGGUUUCUAGGAUCGACGUAAUGAUUAAUAGGGAUAGUUGGGGGCAUUAGUAUUCAAUUGUCAGAGGUGAAAUUCUUGGAUUUAUUGAAGACUAACUACUGCGAAAGCAUUUGCCAAGGAUGUUUUCAUUAAUCAAGAACGAAAGUUAGGGGAUCGAAGACGAUCAGAUACCGUCGUAGUCUUAACCAUAAACUAUGCCGACUAGGGAUCGGAUGAUGUUAAUUUUUUAAUGACUCAUUCGGCGCCUUACG